rnacentral:rRNA from 1 species
ACCUAUGGACGUAGGGGGUUAUUUUUUAGGUAGUGUGGUAAAGAAAACUUAUGGGGAUUUUAUCAAAAAAACCUAUUUGAACCUUAUAAUACAUUAUUUUAAAUAAUAAUACUCAGACUAAUGGCGCAAAGGUCUUUAGUCAAGAGGGAAACAGCCCUGAUUAUAUGCUAAGGUGUGUAAUUACUGCUAAUUAAAAAGAAUUGAUUAUAAACAUCCUAAUCCUAGGUGGGCUUGGAAGCAGCCAUCCUUUAAAGAAAGUGUAACAACUCAUGAUUAGGGGAGAUUUUAGUGAAUAAUAAAUUAUUUUUUAAUUGGUUCUACGAUGUUAACAAUAAGCAGUAAACCGAAGCAAUAAAUAUAGAUGAUGCAUCUAUAUGGUAGCGGAAUGUGGUGUAUUUUUUAGAAGAAAAGUUGUUAAACUUUUUUGGAGAAAUCACUAUUAUAUAUGCUAGUAUUAGUAACUAGAUAUAAUGUGAAAACCAUUAUUGCUAUAUGUUUUAGGGUUACUUUGUAUUGAUAAUCUUA